ACACGUAGGGGCCUGACGUUGUUCGGAAUCAUUGGGCGUAAAGGGCGCGCAGGCGGCCGUCCAAGUCCGGUGUUAAAUGGUCGGGCUCAACCCGAUCAUGCGCUGGAAACUGGGCGGCUGGAGUCCCGGAGGGGAUGCCGGAAUUCCAGGUGUAGGGGUGAAAUCUGUAGAUAUCUGGAAGAACACCGAUGGCGAAGGCAGGCACCUGGCCGGAGACUGACGCUGAGGCGCGAAGGCGCGGGGAGCGAACAGGUUUAGAUACCCUGGUAGUCCGCGCAGUAAACGAUGCGCACCAGGUGUCGGGCGGCAGCGCCCGGUACCGGAGCAAACGCGAUGAGUGCGCCGCCUGGGGAGUAUGCCCGCAAGGGUGAAACUCAAAGGAAUUGACGGGG
rnacentral:rRNA from 1 species